rnacentral:rRNA from 1 species
GCUUGUCUCAAAGAUUAAGCCAUGCAUGUUCUCAGUACAAGCCAAAUUAAGGUGAAACCGCGAAAGGCUCAUUAAAUCAGUUAUGGUUCCUUAGAUCGUACCCACAAUUACUUGGAUAACUGUGGUAAUUCUAGAGCUAAUACAUGCAAACAGAGCUCCGACCGGAGACGGAAGGAGUGCUUUUAUUAGAUCAAAACCAAUCGGUGGCGGGCUCGUCAUCGUACAACUUGGUGACUCUGAAUAACUUUACGCUGAUCGCACGGUCAUCGCACCGGCGACGCAUCUUUCAAAUGUCUGCCUUAUCAACUGUCGAUGGUAGGUUCUGCGCCUACCAUGGUUGUAACGGGUAACGGGGAAUCAGGGUUCGAUUCCGGAGAGGGAGCCUGAGAAACGGCUACCACAUCCAAGGAAGGCAGCAGGCGCGCAAAUUACCCACUCCCGGCACGGGGAGGUAGUGACGAAAAAUAACGAUACGGGACUCAUCCGAGGCCCCGUAAUCGGAAUGAGUACACUCUAAACCCUUUAACGAGGAUCAAUUGGAGGGCAAGUCUGGUGCCAGCAGCCGCGGUA